rnacentral:rRNA from 1 species
GCCAAGGAUGUUUUCAUUGAUCAAGAACGAAAGUWAGGGGAUCGAAGACGAUCAGAUACCGUCGUAGUCUUUACUAUAAACGAUGAGGACUGGGGAUCGGGCGAGKYAUUWYGAUGACCCGCCCGGCACCCUUCGAGAAAUCAAAGUGUUUGCUUUCYGGGGGGAGUAUGGUCGCAAGUCUGAAACUUAAAGGAAUUGACGGAAGGGCAUCACCGGGUGUGGAGCCUGCGGCUUAAUUUGACUCAACACGGGAAAACUUACCAGGUCAGGACAUARUGAGGAUUGACAGAUUGAGAGCUCUUUCUUGAUUCUAUGGKUGGUGGUGCAUGGCCGUUYUUAGUUGGUGGAGUGAUUUGUCUGGUUAAUUCCGUUAACGAGCGAGACCUGGGCGUGCUAAMUAGGGGGUACUACCAUUUUGGUAGUACGCAUACCCUUSUUAGACGGACUGGGGGCGUCUAGCCCCCGGAAGCKCCAGGCAAURWCAGGUMUGASAUGCCMUUAGAUGUUCUGGGCCGCACSCRUGCUACACUGAGUGGAUCAGCGGGUUAUGUAACACGAAAGUGUGUCCUAAUCUUCAAAUCCGCUCGUGAUGGGGAUUGACRGUUGCAAUUUUCCGUCAURAACGAGGAAUMCCUUGUAAGCGCGUUUCAUCAUAWCGCGCUGAAUACGUCCCUGCCCUUUGUACMCACCGCCCGUCGCUCCUMCCGAUUGAGUGGUCCGGUGAGGCUUUGGGACSUGAGCGGAAAAAGCGUUUC